UCAGCACAAGGAACCGGUGCACAAGAGACUCUCCUUUCUUUCAGUAUGAAGGUGACACUGAUCCUGGUCCUGGUGGCCGUCGUCGGCCUCUCCUCUGCCUACUCCCUCGGCGAUGUCUACGAGAAGCUCCAUCGUGUCGAGAGAGACAUGAGCAGCAACAGCUGGAGCAAUUCCGUGGAGGACAUAGAGAAAAGGGACAUCAGCGGCAAUAGCUUUAGCAAUUCCGUGGAGGACAUAGAGAAGAGGGACAUCAGCGGCAAUAGCUGGAGCAAUUCCGUGGAGGACAUAGAGAAAAGGGACAUCAGCGGCAAUAGCUGGAGCAAUUCCGUGGAGGACAUAGAGAAAGGGACAUCAGCGGCAAUAGCUUUAGCAAUUCCGUGGAGGACAUAGAGAAGAGAGACAUCAGUGGGGCAGCAGCUCCUUGGAAAGCAGGAAGAAACGUGACGCCUUCGCUGCCUCUCACGACCUCGAUCUGAGGCGCCUCAGGAGAAGCGACAGCUCCAACAGUGGCAGCUACAGCAUUGAGGAUUGAGGAAUGCUCUGAGGAAGGGAAAACUGCCGCUCCUUCAAGGACUCUGAGCGACGGCGCUGACCUUUGGCGAACGACCUGACCUCCAUUUGGCUCUGCUGAUUGAAAUUGGGAUAAUUCGAACAUUCAAACCCUUGACAUUACGCAUCAGUAAG